CAAAUAUAUCUCGCUUAACAAUGGCGGCCGCCCCAUCGAUGGAGAAUCCUCGUCGUCUCCUUCGUGGCUUCUUCUCCUUCGAGCUUUGAGCUGGAGUUCAUUCACCGGAGCAGCGGCACUGUGGGUUACAGGCCCAGCGUCUUCUCCACCACGCUUCCCCACCUCGCAGCCACCAACUGCGGUCACUUCAUCCUUCCCUUCCUUCCUCUACGCGACCGCCUCAAGGAUGCCGUGGAGGAGACAUUUGGGUGCGAAUUUGAGCUCUUUGUUGAGUUCACCGGCCUCAUCAGAAUCCUCAUUUGCCAUGUGUGCUUGUGUGCGCCAUGUGGAUGCAACAUUGCUCUCAACACAAGUGAGUCAUGCGUCUACUUAUUGUGAUGUGGUGCACGUACUGGAACCAGUGGACACGAAGAUGAAUUAGCUAAAUCAGAUUUGAUAGUUUUAUCUGCAGGUCCAGUCUUGAUGAAAGGCUGAUGUCUUAUGUUGGUGUAAGGGUGCAUCUAUUGGAUGGCAUAGUGAUGACAAUAAGCCCUAUCUAAGACAAAGAGACUUUGCGUGUGCUAUUUGAAUAAUCAUGAGAAAGAUUUCAGAGGUGGUCUAUUUCAUUUUAAAGACGGUGAGCCUUCUUCAGUUGCACCAAUUGCCGGAGAUGUUCUGAUCUACACAGCUGAUGAACGCAAUAUCCAUUGUGUAGAUGAGGUAAUUGAUGGCGAAAGACUGACUUUAACUCUUUGGUUCACGCGUGACUGCUCACAUGAUGAGGAUGCCAAGGUUAUCAAUAUUCUCUCUCAAAGAAUACAAUAUGAACCUGACUCCUUCCUACCUUUGCCAGCAUCUAGUACCAUGUAUUGGUUUCAGAAGGAUGGGUCAGGCUUUGAUGUGCGCCAUGCUAGAGUGAGCUUCCUUGGUUAUGAUUUCUCUUCAACAAAAGAAAAGUCUAGAGCAGAUAAUUCAUUAUGUGAUCCUUUAGAGCUACUUGAUGGGAGAUUGUAUCUUGCUAGGGGAGAUGAAGUUCUUGUCAAAGAAUUCUUAAAUAGUCUACAUGCUUUGCAGGUUCUACAAUUCUGCUACUGGAGAGCUUCUGAAUUAGCCAAAGGAAGGGAAGAGGUCCAUCGUCAAGGAUCUGCUCGACCGGCGAUUUUAAAGAGAACAAUCAAUUUGAAAUUGCCACUGCCACAUGACGACAAACUUGCUGUGGAAAUUUUAGGGGGGCCUUCUUGUAACUGCAUAAAACUUCAAUUCAAAUGGGAAGAUUUGGUGUUAGGAAGCGCCAAGUGGGAGGAAUACGUGUCUCAAUUACACAGAAACAUGCUAGUGUGUAUUCCUAGCUGGUUAUCCAACCACACUCUUUCGUUAGAUAAUCAUAUUGUUGAAUUCGUACAUGCAACAUGAGAUGCAAACCGCACGUUCAUGGUGAUCAACUCAACUUUCCUAUUCAUUUUUGUUUGAACUUGUGUUCAUCUUUGUACCUUCUUUACCAAAUUUUUAUCUUUUAAAUCUUUUGUUGUAAACAUUAUUAUUUUAUUUGAUAGUCCGAUCAUUUGUUUUUCA